AGAAUCAACGCUGGCGGCGUGCCUAACACAUGCAAGUCGAACGAGAAAGUGGGAGCAAUCCCACGAGUAAAGUGGCGCACGGGUGAGUAACACGUGACUAACCUACCCUUGAGUGGGGGAUAACCUAGGGAAACCUGGGCUAAUACCGCAUAAUACCUACGGGUCAAAGCAGCAAUGCGUUUGGAGAGGAGUUCGCGGUCGAUUAGUUAGUUGGCGGGGUAAUGGCCCACCAAGACGAUGAUCGAUAUCCGGCCUGAGAGGGCGCACGGACACACUGGAACUGAAACACGGUCCAGACUCCUACGGGAGGCAGCAGUGGGGAAUUUUGCGCAAUGGGGGAAACCCUGACGCAGCAACGCCGCGUGGAGGAUGAAAUAUCUUGGUAUGUAAACUCCUUUCGAUGGGGAAGAUAAUGACGGUACCCAUAGAAGAAGCCCCGGCUAACUUCGUGCCAGCAGCCGC
rnacentral:rRNA from 1 species